ACUGAUGAACAUAGGUCAUGUGCACGUACAGUGGAAAUAAGAAAAGGCUAUAGCUGCAAGCAACAAAUAUGGCAGCCAAGCACACAUGGCUGCAAUGAUGCCAGCUAGUUUACCGUCCUCCCAUGUCACUAAUAAGUCUGAAAGUCCUUGUUUUGUAUGUUUUUUGUUAAACUUGUACAUCCUGCAAAAAAAUGUAGUUGGUUUAUAGUGCCCCCCUUGAUGACCUUUUGCAAAUUGGUACAAAGAAUUGUAUGUCCAUAUGAAAUUCAGCAGCAUGAUAUGGUGUAUUAGAGGGAUUUUUUAAUACAGAAAAAUACUUUAAUGUCACUGGCUCAUGACAGUCACUUCAAGACAGCAACCCUUAGGGCACACAUUUGAACAAUGAUUUUUAAAUAUUUGUUCAAUAUGAAAGUACUACCAUACUGCUUUUAUAUGGGUAUCGAUAUCUGUUUGAAGCCUUCAUUUGAUAUUCAGUAUUUCAGGCAGGUUUUCUUUCAGUGAAUGGAUGUGCGAUGCGUCAAACAGUCCAGGAAAGGUUUUUAACUGUUUUUUAAAAACGAAAGUGGAGAAAUAUCCAAUAUGGCUGACUGGGUUCUUGAGAAUUAUUUCAUUGUGGAGUGAUAGAUGUAUGGACAGUUUUGUGUCUCUAGGACAUGUGGCAGAAGUAAUUUAUUUUUUACAAAAGUUGUGCAAUGUGAUCUACUUACUAUAUCGUCUGAGCAGUUGGAGAGAAAGUUGGCUGUUUUGGGCAAGGCUCUACUGUUAUAUAAAUUUAAUCAAAACCGACCAGGUGGUUUUGCUAUAGUUUGGGCCUCAGCCUCCUGUUAAGGAUGGCCAUAG